AAAGUCUGAAUGCUUUUCUUGGCUGAUUUUAUGCUCCAUGUGUCAAUACAAAUUAUGAUUCAUCGAUCGGGAUUUCUAUUCUUAACAGUUGGUAGCAGAGGAUGGUUUUGUGUUGACACAUGAGCGGAGAUUGGACUGGCCGUUCAGGCGCAGACUUUCUGGAACAGUACUGCUGCCAACAGUACUCUGGUGUGGGGCCCACAUGAAAGCAGAGCUGCUUCCUGUGGUCUGACGGGGACCAUGUGGACCGUGGGGGCCGGAUUUUGCGGGUUCAGGGCCGUGCGAGGAGGUGAGGAGAAAAGCCUUCGCUGUUCUUAGCCACGCUGACUUGGACAUUUGCACUUUCUACACAUAUGAAUUGUACCAUCUUCUGCUGGACUGCUGUUUGAGGGCAAAGACCUAGUGGACGAUUCCUACAGGUUCUACAGAGGUCAGUGAGGUUGGAUUGAUUUUUCCUGUUGUCACAUGAGGACGGAUUGCAGUUUACAGGAUCUGAUCCUUGAGGAAACACCUGGCUAAAGGACGAGACCCAGGCGUCAUUUCUGAGGGUCUCCUAUGGCAGAAAAGACCACCGGAUUCUACCCGACGUGAUACGGAGAUUUGAAAACAAUGACAUGCUGUAUCUCUCCGUCUCUCCCUCGCUCUGUCAAGGGGGGCCACACACUUUGUCCAGAUUUUUCUGCACAGCGGGACUGAAUGCUGCCCUGGACAGCUUCUGAUGGGACAAAUGGAACAUCACAUGUAAAGUCAUCCUGAGACUCAGAGGCGGUCCUGCUUGUCUGUUGCCAUGAUUGGUCCUGGGUUCUUCGCCUCUGGUCAUGUGACCUAGGCUCCGGGGCCCAGUCUACAGGUUGGAGACAAAAUGGCUGCCAACAGAACUUGGUCCUUGGCUGUUCAGUGCAUCACCUCCAACAUAGAGAAGAGCAGYRGUACCGAUAGAACCCCACCUGCCUAUCAGAUGGUUUCCCAGAACCAAAAGACGACUGUGGAACUCCAGCUUUCCAGAGUUUAAGGGCAGUACUAGUAUCUAGUGACAAAAAUAUAAUUUUUUUCUUGAUUUCGCUUUUUGUUGUGUUUUUUUGUGUUGCAGAAUAAAGUCCAAUCCUUUCUGGGUGUGCUGGGAUGUGAGUCUGUGGGCGCCUUCCACGAUUGCUGGACCAAUUUACAACUGAAACGUCACACUGAAGCCUCGCGGGCCUGUCGGGGUUUCCCAUUGGCCUGCGCCGCCUCUGCAUCUGGACACACGCAGAAACUGAUUUGACAUUGAUAGGUUUUGCUGUAACAAAGACUGAUCUGAUUCGAUUUUAUUGAUCUCAUUACAAUUCAAUCUUACUGCAUUUGAUUUUACCAGUAUCAUUACAUUUUACUUAUACGGAAUUUUAAACCUUUAAUAAUGUUAGUUUCAUAAUAUCAUUAGAUUUCGAUUGUACUGCAUGUAAUGCUAAUUUACUUCAUUGGUUUGAAAAUUCAAAAUGUGCUCGUUUUAUGUUCUGUGCCCUUAACAUUUCUUUUCAUCUGUUAACUUUGCAUCCUUUCAUAGCGUAUUAACUUCUUCACCAUUAUCUUAACAUUUCAUUGAUUCAUGACUUUUUAACUUCAGAAGUAGUAUCUUAACAUUCGUUGUCUGGAUUUUCUAUUUUAAGUACUACCUCACAUUUAUUCAUUGCUUCAUUCAUUUUGGGUUUAUUAAAUCUUGCAUAUUACCUAACAUUUUAUUGAUUUUA